UAAUACCAGCAGCUCAAGUGGUGAUCGUUUUUAUUGGGCCUAAAGCGUCCGUAGCCUGUUUGGUAAACCCUUGGGUAAAUCGGGCAGCUUAACUGUCCGAAUUCUGAGGAGACUGCCAGACUUGGGACCGGGAGAGGUCAGAGGUACUCUUAGGGUAGGGGUGAAAUCCUGUAAUCCUAAGAGGACCACCAGUGGCGAAGGCGUCUGACUAGAACGGGUCUGACGGUAAGGGACGAAGCCCUGGGUCACGAACCAGAUUAGAUACCCGGGUAGUCCAGGGUGUAAACGCUGCGGGCUUGGUGUUGGGGGUCCUACGAGGGCAUCCAGUGCCGGAGAGAAGUUGUUAAGCCCGCCGCCUGGGGAGUACGAUCGCAAGAUUG
rnacentral:rRNA from 1 species